rnacentral:lncRNA from 1 species
CGAAAGCUUGCCAUUUUUCUAUGGAUAAUGAUUAAAGAACGCCUCCCUUGCAACACACUUUUGCAUGCUAAAUUAAGGCACAUUGAUCCUACCUGUAGAUGAUGCGAUGAACAAGAAACUCUUUUUCACCUAUUUUUUUCUUGUCCUCGAGCUGCGGCAAUAUGGAUACAUUCCCCCUUGAGGUUUCGCUCUACCUAGCUAUCUUUUACUUCUAUGAAGGAAGUUUGGUCAGAGCUGUCUACCUAUUUGGAAGGCUAUGAUGAUGGAGUCUUUCUCACCCAGUUGAUGAUUUUUAUCUUAUGGCAUCUGUGUGAGAGUCGGAAUGCCUUAAUUUUUCGAGGAGAAAACCAAAUUUUCUUUGAAAUUCACUCCGCAGCUCAG